rnacentral:lncRNA from 1 species
GUCAUAUCUUGUACGGUAAAUCGCGGUGUACGCAUAGCACUGCCAGAACUCCGUGUACUGCCAACAAUCUCGGUAAUGGAAGGAAAGGCUAAAUUAGUUCAAUUACAACGUGAAAUGACUGAGUCGAGCAUUUCGUCCGGGAGGUAAGGCAAAAGCACACAUAUGGGAUUUUAAGGAGCCUGCAUUAUGUUUUACGGUUGUAUACAAUUACGGGAAGGCGAGCAGUGUCACCGUGAGCCGCGUGCACGUUGAAGAAUGGAGACGUCAAUGAGGACGGGUCACUGAGAUAUCUAUGAGGCCAAGGCACAGGCCAUGGCACAGGCCAUCGCACCGACAGCUCCCGUCAGGAUACCGGAGACUACUAAACCAAGAGGGAUAAAAGAGAUUCUCAAAAGCGAAGUUGUUUCCGAAGCCAGAGCAGAAACUCGUCACAACACGCCUUGUGGAGGUCCAGCUAACAGUACAGCGGGGAGCAGGGUAAGAACACCACCCAUUUGACCAAUCCAAGGGAAAACAGUUCAUUUUGUGCUCCCUGUGCCUCUUCGCCGCAGAUGGCUGGUGCGGAUCAGCUAGAACUCGAACCCUGACCCCCC